UGGGCGGAGUUUGUUAAGCGGUUUAUUGCGCGCGGAAAAUGAACCGUUUGUUGUUGUUGUUGUUAGCGCCUUAGCAACGGAGCUAACUUAGCUUAGCUUAGCUUAGCUUUAACUGUCUAACUGUCUACACAAGUCAGUUCGUAUCAGUUCUAUCUUUUAAUUUUAAAUAAGUUUUAGUUUAUAUUGUAAAGCGUAACUAAUAACUUGUUGUUGCCGUGUUAUUAACGGUAAUAACCACUGGGUCAUAACAUCUGUCUUAUAGAGUUAUUACUGUUAAGAGCUUUCUGUGAAGAUGAGCUGCAUAUUGGACGAUCCGUCACUGGAAAAAAAGUUUAAAGGUCACAGAGACUCGAUCAGCAGCCUGGACUUCAGCUCCAACACCAAACAAAUAGCUACAGGAUCAUUGGACACGUGUGUGAUGAUCUGGAACAUGAAGCCUCACGCGAGAUCGUACCGGUUUGUUGGACAUAAAGACGGUGUGCUGUGUGUCCACUUCUCUCCAUCAGGACAGCUCCUCGCCUCGGCCUCACGCGACAGAACUGUACGUCUCUGGCUGCCCACCGUGAGAGGAGAGUCGAGUGUGUUUAGAGCUCACACAGGGACGGUGCGGAGCGUGAACUUCUGCAGUGAUGGACAGACUUUAGUCACUGCAUCAGAUGAUAAAACAGUGAAGGUGUGGACUGUCCAUCGGCAGAAAUUCCUCUUCUCCUUUAACCGUCACAUCAACUGGGUCCGCUGUGCAAAGUUUUCUCCAGACGGGAGAUUAAUCGUCUCAGCGAGCGACGACAAAACAGUGAAGAUCUGGGACAAGAACAGCCGAGAGUGCGUUCACUCCUUCUGUGAGCACAGCGGCUAUGUGAAUUACGCUGAUUUUCACCCCAGUGGGACGUGCAUCGCUGCUGCCAGCACAGACAACACAGUUAAAGUGUGGGACAUUCGCACUCAUAAACUCCUACAGCAUUACCAAGUCCACAGUGGACCUGUGAACUCUCUGUCCUUCCACCCAGCUGGGAAUCACCUGAUCACCGCCUCCACCGACUCCACACUGAAGAUCCUCGACCUGCUGGAGGGCCGACUGUUAUACACACUGCACGGACACCAGGGCUCAGCUUCCUGUGUGUCGUUCUCAAGAACAGGGGAUCACUUCGCCUCCGGAGGCUCGGACGAACAAGUGCUGGUGUGGAAGACCAACUUCAGCGCUGACGUGAUGAAGAGGCAGCGGUCGGAUGAAGCUCCCGUACAGGCUCCAGAAGUCUCAGACGUGUCUCAAUGCAACUCCAGGCCGAACGCUCGCACGUCUCACAGACCAGACGCUAGCUGUGACUCCGCCCACACGGAGCCGAACCAAUCAAAUCACUCCGAUCUGUCAGACACACAUCUCUCUCCUACACUCACCACAACACUGCAGCAUAUUGUGGGUCAGCUUGAUGUCCUCACACAGUUACAGGUUUUUUUCCUGCUUCCUCUUUCGUUCACUUGAGGUGCUUUUGGUGAUGUGCAGAAGGAAAAGACGUCUAAAUAAACACAAACACUCCAGCAGCUGGAGGGGGGACAUGAAUAAUUUACAGGAAAACGGUGUCCAUACUCGAACAGAGACUGACUUUGACGGAGGACAAACUAAAGGAAUGUGUGGAGAAUCAGCACAAAAUCAAUCUGCAGCUUCAGAGCAGAACUUAGUCUGGUCUCUAACAGCCCCCCGUCUGGUCUCUAACAGCCCCCCGUCUGGUCUCUAACAGCCCCCCGUCUGGUCUCUAACAGCCCCCCGUCUGGUCUCUAAAAGCCCCCGUCUGGUCUCUAAUAGCCCCCGUCUGGUCUCUAACAGCCACCCGUCUGGUCUCUAACAGCCCCCGUCUGGUCUCUAACAGCCCCCCGUCUGGUCUCUAACAGCCCCCCGUCUGGUCUCUAAUAGCCCCUGUCUGGUCUCUAACAGCUGGUCUCUAACAGCUCAGUUCUUUCAUUUUCCUCCUUUUCUGAAACCUGUGAAAAACCCCUGGUGUUUUCAGACAGUUAGCUUCUAGCGCUGUAGCAGGUUGUGUGUUGAUUGUAGCAGCAGUGACUUUUCUGCCAGUUGUAUGUUUUCAGUGUGUGAUUUUUUUUGUGCUGUUUGUGUUUUUAUAUCCGUAUUUUUAAAUUAAACACUCUCUUAUUUCAGAAAGUGAAUAUAAAGUUCAUUAAUGAUUAAUGACGUAUUUCCCUGCAGCAUGUUUGUGUUAAACUCGUUCAGGAUGUAGUUAAUGUUGAGCUCCAUUUUGAACACCCAAUAUUUUAACAGGCAGUUACACGUCAGCGAGCUGUGUGAAGUCUCGGGCUGAUGGUUCAGCUGAUGUUCCUCACACAAGCAGCACACACUCAGUACUAGUCAACUUUAGCAUUAGCAGCCUUUCGGUGUUUCAGAGUUCCUUCAACAUUUUUAGCUAUAAUAUGUUUCAGAUCAACGAUCAGCUUUUUCUGAGUCUUUCUGAAGGUAGUUGAAUGUAAGUGACGUUAUAAUAAGGUUAUAAUAAGGUUGUGAAGCUAACCUUCAUUCAUUCAUUCAUCUUCUACCACUUAUCCGAACUUCUCGGGUCACAGGGAGUCUGUGCCUAUCUCAGGUGUCAUCGGGCAUCGAGGCCGGAUACACCCUGGACGGAGUGCCAACCCAUCACAGGGCACACACACUCUCAUUCACUCACACACACACACACACUCACACACUACGGACAAUUUUCCAGAGAUACCAAUCAACCUACCAUGCAUGUCUUUGGACCGGGGGAGGAAACCGGAGUACCCGGAGGAAACCCCCGAGGCACGGGGAGAACAUACAAACUCCACACACACAAGGUCCCCUUAAUAAAGCUAACCUGAUCACAGAAAUAAUGUUCCUGCAACAUUUGAACAACGUUUGCUGUAAUGUUCUCUAACAGCCAAAACCUCUCAGAAAUCCAUUAAACAGAAAUGAAAAAUGACAAAUAAAUCCUAAUAAAUUGUUACCUCACUGAGGAUCAGA